rnacentral:lncRNA from 1 species
CAUAAUAAAAAAAAAAGAAGGUUAUUCCUAUAUUUCAUUAAAUUUAAUAAUAUAAAAAAUAAAUUAAAGUUUUAAAAUGGAAUUAUAAUUCUACGAAAAGCAUAAAGAACUAUAAGAGAAGAAAAAUUAUUACUGUCACAGCCCGCGACCACGCCUAUUUGGCCUGGUUCGGGCUGCCGACAGCGCCAAACGGACAGAGUUUUUUCUGUACCACGGAUAGAAUCUCCCCUGUACGUCUAAGGCGUCGUAAUCAAUACAAUACACGAGAUUCCAAACAGGAACUGCAUUCAAGUAAAGAUUGCAUAAGGAAAUAUCAAAACAUAAACAUCUACUGCUAUUACAAGCAUUCACAUACAUGCAUUUUACAUCACAAUUACAAUUUGUUUUCUUCCAAAUACAAUCUAAAUUAUUACAACAUUUAUAAUUUUGUUACAAUUUUGUUCUUUUCAUUUCCUAUAUCCCUAGGAUAUGCCGACUCGGGGUAUUGCUAUCUCUGGUCCAAUGGUAGAGCGCUAUUUACAGAGCUACGCCUUUUUCUUGCGCCGCCGCGCCGCUUACUUGUGAACCUGAAACUCCAAAAUCACGUGGGGUGAGAACUAUUGUCCAUAGUUCCCAGUGAGUACGGCCACCCAAGGAAAAAGCUCGACCAGCCAGGUCCAAAGGAGGCAACCAACAUGUUAGUCCAACAAAUAGAUAUAACAACAGAAUUUAUGCAACUAACAUUUAUCAUGUUUUUGCCUCACAAAUGCAGAAAUACAAACUAUGCAAUAAUGUAAUUUAUGCAACCAUGCAACUAAUGCACAACUAGUAGAUCAUCCGAUACUACUUUCUAUCUCGCUAUCUAGCUCAUAUCCAACUAGCUUCUAAGGUUUCUAUUACCUUAGAUCCAUAUCAUUUACCACUAGCCCUUAAAGUUUUAUCUACCUUAACCAAGCUAGUCACCCGACUCGGCCUCGAGUCAAUCAACUACAGAGUACCGCGCUCUGUCCGGCUCGAGGUGAAGGAACCCUCACAUACACCUCAACCUUCAAUUCACAUACCACAUCGCCCAACGGGUC